GUAUACCUGGACCCAAGCUCAAGCUUGCUAAUAAACCCUCGUGCGCUUGCAUCGUUGUCAGCUCCUCGGUGGUUUCUUGGAUUCGCAAUCUUGGGCACAACAACAGUACUGAUUACACUUUGCACUAUAUCUUGCAAUUAGGUAAUCUCUAGACCCAACGUGAGACUCAAACUUAUAAACAACCCCAAGAUCAAAAGUCACAUGCUCCACUGACUGAACCAGCCAGGCACCCUUAAAAAUUAUUUUUAAUGGGAUUAUUUACCAUGUGAAUUUGGAAAAGUUUUAAAAUCUAUUUAAGGGACACCUGGGUGGCUCAGCUGUUGAACGUCUGCCUUUGGCUCAAGGUGUGAUCCCCGAGUUCCCGGAUCGAGUCCCACAUCAGGCUCUUUGCCCAGAG